CAGUGGCUCAGUUGGUUAGAGUGCCGGCCUGUCACGCCGGAGGUCGAGGGUUCGAACCCCUUCUG
rnacentral:tRNA from 1 species